GACUCAGUGGUGUAGUGGCAAACAUGCCUGCUCAGAUUACAUGCUAUUCAAAUUCAGUGGGAGAUCCCUGUUUGACUCAGGGCUGGGUUA